rnacentral:rRNA from 1 species
AACGAACGCUGGCGGCAGGCCUAACACAUGCAAGUCGAGCGAAGCCUUCGGGCUUAGCGGCGGACGGGUGAGUAACGCGUGGGAACGUGCCCUUUGGUACGGAACAGCCCCGGGAAACUGGGAGUAAUACCGUAUGUGGUCGAGAGACGAAAGAUUUAUCGCCAAAGGAUCGGCCCGCGUUGGAUUAGGUAGUUGGUGGGGUAAUGGCCUACCAAGCCGACGAUCCAUAGCUGGUUUGAGAGGAUGAUCAGCCACACUGGGACUGAGACACGGCCCAGACGCCUACGGGAGGCAGCAGUGGGGAAUUUUAGACAAUGGGGGAAACCCUGAUCUAGCCAUGCCGCGUGAUCGAUGAAGGCCUUAGGGUUGUAAAGAUCUUUCAGUGGGGAAGAUAAUGACUGUACCCACAGAAGAAGCCCCGGCUAACUCCGUGCCAGCAGCCGCGGUAAAAC